CCCGGAAACGGGUGCCCCGCUUGCGGCCGGUUUACAGGUGGUGCAUGGUUGUCGUCAGCUCGUGUCGUGAGAUGUUGGGUUAAGUCCCGCAACGAGCGCAACCCUCGUUCUAUGUUGCCAGCGGGUAGUGCCGGGGACUCAUGGGAGACUGCCGGGGUCAACUCGGAGGAAGGUGGGGACGACGUCAAAUCAUCAUGCCCCUUAUGUCUUGGGCUUCACGCAUGCUACAAUGGCCGGUACAAUGGGUUGCGAUACUGUGAGGUGGAGCUAAUCCCAAAAAGCCGGUCUCAGUUCGGAUUGGGGUCUGCAACUCGACCCCAUGAAGUCGGAGUCGCUAGUAAUCGCAGAUCAGCAACGCUGCGGUGAAUACGUUCCCGGGUCUUGUACACACCGCCCGU
rnacentral:rRNA from 1 species